rnacentral:rRNA from 1 species
UACGGAGGGGGCUAGCGUUGUUCGGAAUUACUGGGCGUAAAGCGCGCGUAGGCGGACCUGCAAGUCGGGGGUGAAAGCCCGAGGCUCAACCUCGGAACUGCCUUCGAUACUGCGGGUCUCGAGUCCGGGAGAGGUGAGUGGAAUUCCUAGUGUAGAGGUGAAAUUCGUAGAUAUUAGGAAGAACACCAGUGGCGAAGGCGGCUCACUGGCCCCGGUACUGGACGCUGAGG